UCCUCCUCUUUUGCUUUCUUCACUGCGGCACAUCUCCACCGCGGCACAUCUCUACCAUCGUUUUUGCACCAAAGAAGCUCAGAACGACAUGAGAAAGGUCGAAGAAGCUUCGUCGGGAAAUGGGUCAAAUUUCACUAGGCUAAACUACAGUGGUUUUUACACUGCUAUUCUAGAGAGGGGGAUGGGGUUAUCGCUGCAGCAUCCAUCCGGCGUCAAGGGAAGUGUCGCUGUCUUCUUUGCGCAAUUGAAUCUGCCCUCAGCUCCCUGAAUGUUGAGAAAUUAGUCAUACCUGCAGUCCCGGAACUGAGGGAAACAUGGACUUCUGUCUUUAGUUUCGAACCACUAGAAACUGCAUGCAAGCCGAAGAUGAGGAACAUGAAUAUGCUGGUCUUUCC